rnacentral:misc_RNA from 1 species
GGAAGUAAAAGUCACAAGGUCUCCGUUGGUGAACCAGCGGAGGGAUCAUUACAGAGUUGCAAAACUCCCAAACCAUUGUGAACGUUACCUAUCCCGUUGCUUCGGCGGGCGGCCCGGGCCCCGCGCCCGGCGCCCCCCGGCCCCCCGUGGGCGCCCGCCGGAGGUAAACCAAACCCUUGAAUUGCAUGGCCUCUCUGAGUCUUCUGUACUGAAUAAGUCAAAACUUUCAACAACGGAUCUCUUGGUUCUG